UUUUCACUUGUCGUAUCUUGAGGCUAUCUCAUUAGACGCACAGAAAUGUAGAAUUACUCAAUUUCUCUGGUAGACUUGCUCCGUUGUCUCAAUGAACAUUUAUUUUUGACCAUGUUUCUUACUCCAGGAUAUACUUUGCGCACACACACACACACACACCAAACGACACCCCCACACUACACACCCAACACACACACACCAAACCACACCCCACUACACACCCAACACACACACACCAAACCACACCCCCACACUACACACCCAACACACACACACCAAACCACACCCCCACACUACAUACCCAACACACCAAACCAUACCCCCACACUACACACCCAGCACCCCCAUAGCCACACUCCACACACACCCCACACCACACACCCACAUACACACACUCCACACACCCCCACCCCCUCACACACUACACACCCAACACCCACAUAUGCACACUCCACACACCCCACUACACACCCAACACCCACAUAUGCACACUCCACACACCCCCUCACACCUCCACACUACACACCCAACCCAGCCACAUACACACUCCACACACACCCACACUAUACACCCCCACACUACACACCCACAUGCGCACACUCCACACUCCACCCACACCCCCACACUGCACACACUCAGCACACCCACAUACACACACUCCACACACACCCAAACCCACACCAGCCUCUAGGUGCCUCGACCUCUCCAGCCCUCACGUUCGGCGAGCGUCUCUUGUAAGCAGCACAUGGUUUAGCCAUAUCCCAUUGACAAUGUCUGUCCUUCAACGGAUGUAUCUACCCUCGUCAUACUUACAGCACCUGUAGAUGUAUCGGGACCUAAAUCUACUGUUUAUUCCCUAGUUUCUAUUCAUCCCACCUGUUCUGCAUUCCUUUUUCUCUCAUGUUUUGCCUUCUUUUGGAUCUACUCUGUGUGUUUUAAACGUCCUGUGUGUGUGCCGUCCUGCCUGCCCUCCUGUCUCUCCACCAGUGUUAGCUCUGCAUUCCUCUCCAACCUCACCGUCCAAUAUAGUGAGAACUACCACCACUCCCCAGGGCGC
rnacentral:lncRNA from 1 species